AUCCUACUUAUCCUACUUGGAUAACUGUGGUAAUUCUAGAGCUAAUACAUGCAACCAGAGCCCUGUCCAGAAAUGGGCAGGGCGCAUUUAUUAGAUCAAAACCAGUCGGUCGGGUUCGCCCUUCCGUGGUCUUGGUGACUCUGAAUAACCGCUGCUGAUCGCACGGCCUUUGUGCCGGCGACGUAUCUUUCGAAUGUCUGCCUUAUCAACUGUCGAUGGUAAGUUCUGCGCUUACCAUGGUUGUAACGGGUAACGGGGAAUCAGGGUUCGAUUCCGGAGAGGGAGCCUGAGAAACGGCUACCUCAUCCAAGGAAGGCAGCAGGCGCGCAAAUUACCCGCUCCCGGCACGGGGAGGUAGUGACGAAAAAUAACGAUACGGGACUCAUCCGAGGCCCCGUAAUCGGAAUGAGAACACUUUAAAUCUUUUAACGAGUACCUAAUGGAGGCAAGUCUGGUGCCAGCAGCCGCGGUAAUUCCAGCUCCAUUGGCGUAUAUUAAAGUUGUUGCGGUUAAAAAGCUCGUAGUUGGAUCUGUGUAUCGGACGGUUUCGCCGCUCGCGGUGUUUAACUGACCGGUCCGGACGUCCUGCCGGUGGGCGCCGGUUCGCGCCGGGGCCCGUAACUCCCUCCGCGCUGCUCUUAACCGAGUGGUUCGGUGGGCCGGCACGUUUACUUUGAACAAAUUUGAGUGCUCAAAGCAGGCCUUUUGUCGCCUGAAAACUGUGUGCAUGGAAUAAUGGAAUAGGGCCUUGGUUCUAUUUUGUUGGCUUUUCUGAACUCGAGGUAAUGAUUAAUAGGGACAGACGGGGGCAUUCGUAUUGCGACGUUAGAGGUGAAAUUCUUGGAUCGUCGCAAGACGGACGGAUGCGAAAGCGUUUGCCAAGAAUGUUUUCGCUAAUCAAGAACGAAAGUUAGAGGUUCGAAGGCGAUCAGAUACCGCCCUAGUUCUAACCAUAAACGAUGCCAGCCAGCGAUGCGCCGAAGUUCCUCCGAUGACUCGGCGCGCAGCUUCCGGGAAACCAAAGCUUUUGGGUUCCGGGGGAAGUAUGGUUGCAAAGCUGAAACUUAAAGGAAUUGACGGAAGGGCACCACCAGGAGUGGAGCCUGCGGCUUAAUUUGACCCAACACGGGAAACCUCACCAGGCCCGGACAUCGGAAGGAUUGACAGAUUGAGAGCUCUUUCUUGAUUCGAUGGGUGGUGGUGCAUGGCCGUUCUUAGUUGGUGGAGCGAUUUGUCUGGUUAAUUCCGAUAACGAACGAGACUCUAACCUGCUAACUAGGCGCCGGGAUCUUCAUGCUCCCGGCGUAGUCAUCUUCUUAGAGGGACAGGCGGCAUCUAGCCGCACGAGA
rnacentral:rRNA from 1 species